GUGGGCAGGAACCUUGGGUGGGAGAAGCAGCAAGGCUAAGCAGGAGGAGCAGGGGCCUUUGAGUUCUAGCCUAGCAGCAUGACAGGGAAAAGGUCACUUCCCAUCUCUGGGCCUCAAUUUCCUCAUUUGUAAAACAGGGAAACGCCACCAGAUCUUCGCCUUAGCAUUCCAGGAAUCUUUGAAAGUGGAAGGGCCUGCACUCAAACCAUCCUCCCUCAGCAAUGCUGGAUUGGAAGCUGAGCAAAGCCACUGUGGAGGAAGAGUGACUCCCUUUUCUCCACCUAUCAGGGGAGGUAAAGGCUCUCAUGCUUGUGUUUCAAGUCCUCGGCAAGCAUGGUUUGGCAGAUGGGAAGCAAGCCUGGAGGAGACCAUAGAGCUUCCUUCCUAUGCCUGGUCCUGGGCACAGGACUCUGAAGCCCUGCAAGUGAGCAGUGCACACAUGAGUGAGUGUCACCCACGAUGGAAAAGCCGGCUGUUCAUGAGCACUUAGGAUGGGCCAGACCCUAGGCCAGAUGCUUCUCAUGUAUCUCCUUUAUUCUCCCAAUUACCUUGUUGAGAAAAAAAAGCAUAACCUUGCAGAAAAGAUAUCUAAUGAGCCACUCCUGCCCCAGCUUCUG
rnacentral:lncRNA from 1 species